GACGUAGGGUGCAAGCGUUGUCCGGAUUUAUUGGGCGUAAAGAGCUCGUAGGCGGCUUGUUGCGUCGACUGUGAAAACCCGCGGCUUAACCGCGGGCUUGCAGUUGAUACGGGCGGGCUAGAGUUCGGUAGGGGAGACUGGAAUUCCUGGUGUAGCGGUGAAAUGCGCAGAUAUCAGGAGGAACACCGGUGGCGAAGGCGGGUCUCUGGGCCGAUACUGACGCUGAGGAGCGAAAGCGUGGGGAGCGAACAGG
rnacentral:rRNA from 1 species